AUGUGUUUGCUUUGUCUACACCCGUUUUGUUCACCUACAGCCACCGGAGAGGAGGACAGAGGCGCCGCGGCAGCGAGAAGAUGGAAGGCCGGACCAAGGCCACCCACGCCGGGUCCUUCAAGUGCCGCUUCCAAGUGCGUCUGCGCGCCGGCCAUCGACGUCGGGUCCUUCAAGUGCCGCUUCCACCGCAUCAACUCCUAGGGCCACGGCCACAGCCAGGGCCAGGGAAGCCGCCCUUCUUCGCCCCCUUCACCAGCCACGGCCAACGCGGUGCCGCGGUACCCGGCCUCGCCGUCCUCGUCCUCCGGCACCGUCGCGACCCAGUGA
rnacentral:rRNA from 1 species